AUUAUGUAACCGUGUAGCAUUUCAUUCCAUUUUGGUGUAGAGAACGCUGGUUCUGCGUCUGGCUGCUGGGGGGUGUCUGCUUGGAUCAGAGCUAUGGCCAUCAGAACCUUCUGACAACAUGCAGCUCAACAAAGAUAAAGAGAGCCAUUGUCUUCCCAUCCAGGGACGGGAGAGACACAUUGCUUGCAAAAGGACUUGUGCCAAGCUAAAGAGCGCUACUCAGCCAGUCAGGGAAUCAGAGGAUCCCCUGGCUCAUGCACUGUGGCUGCUCUGAUAUUCAGAAAGCUGUUGUUCACUGCAGCUAAUGGAAAGCAUACAAGAACGACACUGACGUUACAUUUGUACAACGUUGUCAUUCAGAGGGAUCCCCAAGCUUCACAAGUGACAACUCAAACCCUGAAGUAUGUGCGCCUCCAACACUUCUUGGAAUAGUGAGAAGAAAACGACAAAGACAACUGGAAUAAACAGACUUAAGAUAUGUGCAGUUUCCUUGUGCAGACAAUACAGGGGGAAAGAAAAAUAAUUUGAAAGCUGCAAGGGUCUGACCAGAGAUGUCAAGGGGAGCCUUUGCAUUUCUUUCAGAGAGAUUGGAUCAGGCCCCCUGUGGGAGCCAUAAUGAAGUUUAUUUCCAGUUGAUACAGUUAAUUUACUAUUCUGUGAUUCUAUAUGUAAAAUUAUACUAUCACCAUGAGCAAAGGGAAGAUUACACAGUCAGAGCCCAUCUGAAUUUAACAUGAAAGAAAAAUCAUGCUUAGGUACUCUUGCCAAACUCUAAAAGGAAAUAUGUUUGUAACCUUUCUGUGUAUCUUCCUCUCAAUCUGAGGCUAUGUCUCUCUCCUGUAAAAAAAAAAAAAGAAGUGUGUUUUUUACAUUGAAUAGUUAACCUGAGAUAGUUAGUCCAAGGUAAAAACUACAGUGCCUUGUCUCCGCUAAAGUCUUUCACUGAGAUGGCUAAGAGGUAAACACCUGGUAGUGGAGAGAAUACGAUUGACUUUGAUUAGCUAUAUCAGGGUAAAAACUAUCUGUGCCUUAUCUCCAUGAGGAUUUUACAUCGAGAUGAUAAUCUUUAUGUAGAAAUACCCAUUUUUGCAGUGAAGAUAAAGCAGGAGUGACACAGGUAGUUCCUUGUAGGCAGACAUAAGCCAGGCAAGGAGUCUAUCUUCUGAGUAUUAUUCAUGAAUAAACCAAGUUCUUAUUGUUA